CGGCGAGGCCCUUGAACUGCGUGGACUGUUAGCUGACCAGCUAAACUACCCGCAGCCGUGCUUCAGGCAUGGUUCACAGAUCAAGUGAUGGCCGGCGAUCCUUCUUAACUGAAGGUCAGCUCGUAAUAUGACCGGUCCUCGGAUGCGAAUCCGGUGGAGUCGAUGCCAGGAGUGGAGCCUGCGGCUUAAUUUGACUCAACACGGGGAAACUCACCAGGUUAACCAAUGUCUGGGCCUGGAAAUGGAAGGUCCAUCUGGAUCUUCGCGAGUACUGCAUGUUUUUCGUGCGGUGCAACACUUACUGGUACAGGGAACGCCUUCUGGGCCGAUCCUGUGGUGAGCAGCAGUCUUUUAGACGGCAGCCGCCGCAAAGCGCGCCAAGUAGUGGGCUGCUGGCAUAGCCGGCAGUUUAACGUACGUGCUAAUCCCAUGUGCAAACAUGUGGUAGCUUCAUUACAUUUGAAGCUGAAAGUGCCAGACACAUUAAGGAUUGACAGAUUGAGAGCUCUUUCUUGAUUAUGUGGGUGGUGGUGCAUGGCCGUUCUUAGUUGGUGGAGUGAUUUGUCUGCUUAAUUGCGAUAACGAACGAGACCUUAACCUGCUAAAUAGCCCGGUCCGCUUUGGCGGGCCGCUGGCUUCUUAGAGGGACUAUCGGCUCAAGCCGAUGGAAGUUUGAGGCAAUAACAGGUCUGUGAUGCCCUUGACUUAAUAUCUAGGGGUAUCCACAACAGUUUCAGGAGGGAUUAACCCCCUGAGGCAACAUCUCCAAGUUCUGGGGAGUGGUAGCGGCCGUUCACAUGGCUCAGCUGCGACGACCCGGGGCCAGUUCAACCCACAGGUUCGACUGGUCCAGAGACUAAACGGAGGUGGGCGAUUCCAGUUAAAGGAUCGUUUCAGAUAUAGUCCAACAACGAGCGCUCACGCGUUCGGUUAACGUGUAGAUGUUCUGGGCCGCACGCGCGCUACACUGACAGAGCCAACGAGUAAAUCACCUUGGCCGGAAGGUCUGGGUAAUCUUGUUAAACUCUGUCGUGCUGGGGAUAGAGCAUUGCAAUUAUUGCUCUUCAACGAGGAAUUCCUAGUAAGCGCAAGUCAUCAGCUUGCGCUGAUUACGUCCCUGCCCUUUGUACACACCGCCCGUCGCUACUACCGAUUGAAUGGCUCAGUGAGGCCUUCGGACUGGCACAGGGACGUUGGCAACGACGACCCAGUGCCGGAAAGUUCGUCAAACUUGGUCAUUUAGAGGAAGUAAAAGUCGUAACAAGGUUUAUCCUUCCAGCAAUCAAUCUGCUGAAGCCUUACACAGCGACUCUAAACAACUGUGCAGCCCGCUUCGUUGCGGGCGAUACCAUCCAACUGCCUGGGAAUUCUCUCUGGAGUAUUACCAGCAGCCUGAACCUCCGGGUCAGGUCCACAGAUCAAGUGAUGGUGGCUGUCCAAGUUACAGCUAAGAUAUGAUCGGUCCUAACUGUCACCAGUUCAGGAGUCGACGUUCCGUAGGUGAACCUGCGGAAGGAUCAUUAACGAUUUUGACCCUUCGGGGUCGAUCUCCAACCCUUUGUCUACCUUCCUUGUUGCUUUGGCGGGCCGUUGUUCGCUCUCACGAGCGACACCGCUGGCUUCACGGCUAGUGAGCGCCCGCCAGAGUCCAUCAAAACUCUGAUUCAAACCUACAGUCUGAGUAUAUAUUUUAAUAAAUUAAAACUUUCAACAACGGAUCUCUUGGUUCUGGCAUCGAUGAAGAACGCAGCGAAAUGCGAUAAGUAAUGUGAAUUGCAGAAUUCAGUGAAUCAUCGAAUCUUUGAACGCACAUUGCGCCCCUUGGUAUUCCGAGGGGCAUGCCUGUUCGAGCGUCAUUUCACCACUCAAGCUCAGCUUGGUAUUGGGUCAUCGUCUGGUCAAACAGGCGUACCUGAAAAUCAGUGGCGGUGCCCAUCCGGCUUCAAGCAUAGUAACUUUUAUCUUGCUUUGGAAGUUCGGAGGGUUACACCUGCCAACAACCCCAAUUUUUUCAAUGAUUGACCUCGGAUCAGGUAGGAAUACCCGCUGAACUUAAGCAUAUCAAUAAGCGGAGGAAAAGAAACCAACAGGGAUUGCCUCAGUAACGGCGAGUGAAGCGGCAACAGCUCAAAUUUGAAAUCUGGCUCUUUCAGAGUCCGAGUUGUAAUUUGUAGAGGAUGCUUCGGAAUGGUCCCAGUCUAAGUUCCUUGGAACAGGACGUCGCARAGGGUGAGAAUCCCGUAUGUGACUGGGUAACCGGCCCAUGUGAAGCUCCUUCGACGAGUCGAGUUGUUUGGGAAUGCAGCUCUAAAUGGGUGGUAAAUUUCAUCUAAAGCUAAAUAUUGGCCAGAGACCGAUAGCGCACAAGUAGAGUGAUCGAAAGAUGAAAAGCACUUUGGAAAGAGAGUUAAAAAGUACGUGAAAUUGUUGAAAGGGAAGCGUUUGCAACCAGACUUGCCUGCAGUUGAUCAACCGGUGUUCUCACCGGUGCACUCUUCUGCAGACAGGCCAGCAUCAGUUUGGGUGGUUGGAUAAAGGCCGGAGGAAUGUAGCUCCUCUCGGGGAGAACUUAUAGCCUCCGGCGUCAUGCAGCCUGCCCGGACUGAGGACCGCGCUUUUAGCUAGGAUGCUGGCGUAAUGGUUGUAAACGACCCGUCUUGAAACACGGACCAAGGAGUCUAACAUCUAUGCGAGUGUUUGGGUGUCAAACCCGUACGCGUAAUGAAAGUGAACGGAGGUGGGAAGCGCAAGCUGCACCAUCGACCGAUCCUGAUGUCUUCGGAUGGAUUUGAGUAUGAGCAUAGCUGUUGGGACCCGAAAGAUGGUGAACUAUGCCUGAAUAGGGUGAAGCCAGAGGAAACUCUGGUGGAGGCUCGCAGCGGUUCUGACGUGCAAAUCGAUCGUCAAAUUUGGGUAUAGGGGCGAAAGACUAAUCGAACCAUUGACACCGAUACUAGGUGGUUAAUUGAAAGGGUGCGCAUCUCGAUGCCGCCUUUCCAGCUCAACUCGUUUGGGCAACACUGCAAACUGCAUGGACGUCCUUAACUGGAACAACAUGCCGCGAUCCUGCACAAGGAUCGCUCACAGACCAAAUGGCAGUGGCUGGACGGAGACGUCCGGUUAAGAAAUGGCCGGUCCCCCUCGUGAACGAGGGCGGAGCAACGCUAGUAGCUGGUUCCUGCCGAAGUUUCCCUCAGGAUAGCAGUAACGUAUUCAGUUUUAUGAGGUAAAGCGAAUGAUUAGAGGCCUUGGGGUUGAAACAACCUUAACCUAUUCUCAAACUUUAAAUAUGUAAGAAGUCCUUGUUACUUAGUUG
rnacentral:rRNA from 1 species